rnacentral:rRNA from 1 species
UACAGAGACUGCAAGCGUUACUCGGAAUUACUGGGCGUAAAGCGUGCGUAGGUGGUGAGUUAAGUCUGUCGUGAAAGCCCCGGGCUCAACCUGGGAAUGGCGAUGGAUACUGGCUCGCUAGAGUGCGGUAGAGGAGAGUGGAAUUCCCGGUGUAGCAGUGAAAUGCGUAGAGAUCGGGAGGAACAUCAGUGGCGAAAGCGGCUCUCUGGACCAGCACUGACGCUGAGGCACGAAAGCGUGGGGAGCAAACAGG